UGGUGCAUAGCUCAGUGGUAGAGCACUCGACUGCAGAUGGAGAGGUCCCGGAUCAAACACGGAUGCCCCUU
rnacentral:tRNA from 1 species